CUGGGCUACCAGCUUGGGUUUCCCAAGUUUUAUCCCUGUGUAGGGUGCAAACGUGUACUGUAGGGUGCGAAAGUGAAAGGGGGUGAACGUGAAUCAAAAAAGUGGUUUUUCAAAUGAUUUGGUCCCAUCCAUACACAAAAUUCAAAAAGCAUUAUUGAUUUUAAUUGAUAUCCUUGAUACUAUAUUAAUAUGCAUACUACGAUACUACUUCAAAGGAAAAAUACAAACCCAAACUCUUCCAAAACGUUGACCGACAUGUCAGAUUCCACAUCUGCCUCGUUGGUUAUAAUGCGGCUGAUGCCAACAUCUUCCGGUAACUCCUUGGACAACAUGACCCCGAUUGUCUCAUCUCUAUUACACUUAACAAAUUUGAGUGAACACGAACUUCUCUCUAGUGAUCGCACUUCAAGUUUAAUGUAAAAAAACUGUCCCUUCCCGGAAGUCGCCAUUUUGUUUGACCAUGCGACAAGAGAUAAAUUAAAAAUCGCAGACCCGUACUCGUACUUUUUUUUUUUGAGGAUUUCGUAACAGUCGGCGG
rnacentral:lncRNA from 1 species